UCAUUUUCCCAGAGAUAUAAUAAAAUCGAGACAUUUCUACUUGAAUUUCUGUCUUAAUGAAUUAAAAAGAUACAUAUAAGAUGAAAAAUACCAAAUUUAUUUCCCAAAUACAAGAAAAAAGUAUCCAUUUGAAUUCACUUUGCAAUAUACAUUAACAAUAAAAACUCCUGUUCCAUGUCCCACUUGUCUCAACCCCCAACCAAUGGCGGCAGCCACAAGAAGGGAAAGAUUGCUGGCUGGCCCUUGGUUUUCAGAAUCUGAAACUUGGCACAAGAGCAGUGGAAACAUCUACCCCAGGCUAUGAAGGGCUUCUUAUUGCCCUGCUUGUCCAAACGCUCUAGAAUAGCCAUUUGCAAUUGAAGGUCUUACCACAACUUCCACUAAUGUUUAAUAUAUUUUAAGGUAAAGUCCAGAGCAUAGAAGAAUGAAAUUCUCUUCAGUUGCAAAGGAACAUUAGUUCAUAUCUAAAUGUGAUAAGAUUAUCAAAGGUCGUUAAAAAAUAAACCACCCAAAUGAGUUUAUUGGUUUGAAAGAUAUUUGUUAAUAAGCCUGACAGGAAAAAAUCAAACCACCACCCUGUUUUUGCCAUCAUAAUGAGAAUCUAUAGAAGGUUAAUUUAGUCUUUGGGAAGUGGAACCACAUUGAGUUCUACCAAAAAUGGCUACUGGGCUUCUUAGAUGUGAUCUAAGCUCCCCGCAGAAGACUGAGGAAGCUAUGAUUUGCUUAGUGACUGACUAUUCCCACUCAUGCUCAUCAGAUGGCUAUUGAUGACAUGAAGUUCUCGUAUCACCAUGCUCAGAUCUUCGUGUAGUUUGACUAUGGCAUUUUUCAUCUCCCCCAGGAUAACUUUAAUGGAACUGUUGGCUUCAGGUUCCUUCAGCAGGCCUUCGGUUGUCUGAAAACUUGGACAGGACAUAGAGGUGAAGUGGUCUACAUUUAGGGUGGAAAACUCUUCCCAAUUACUGCCCGAAGCAGGACUUGUCUGCUUCUUGGCAGACUCAGAGUUAUUUGGAAGACAUUCCAGUAAAUUGAGAUUGUCAACUUCCUCUUCAUCAGAAGACACUAGUCCCCUAGGAGCUAAGGGGUAAUGAGCCCUGGCUAUCUUAUCUUCAUCUUUAAAUAAAGCAGAAGAAGACUGUGGAUGGGACAGAGUCCAGAAGGAAGGUCCAGCCAAAAUCGGGGGUAAGAGAUGAAUAGACUUCUCUGGAGAGGCUGAAUUAGGAGGGGACACAGAUAACAUAGAAAAGGAGGAUGUUCCUUCAGAGAUGGUUGAAACUAAAAGGUAUAAAGGGGGAGAGAAAGAUUAUGUAACAUACAAGAGAGAGCCAUAGCUAAAAUAUUUUUACAAUGUAAAAUCCCACUAGCAAAACCUCAAUGUUAACAUACUAUUUGUAAUUUUAUAGGUUAAAUAUUCAUAAUAAGCCUAAAGACACCUGAAAGCAGGAAGUGGAGAAAAAUCUAAAGAUGUAUUAUAUACCGAUACUGCCAUGGAAAUGAAACUAACAUAGAAGUAUCAAUAUUCACCUUGACUCUGAACCGUGCCCAACAUAUUUUUACACUGCACUUACCAGAGAGAGCAGAAAAAGAAUAUUAUGGCAAAAUGAACAACCAACUAUACGUACCCAAAAGCUGUGAAACAAACUUUUUUCUUUAACUGCUCAAAUACAGUUGAGACUGAACUCCAACCUUCCAGAGAUAUGGAACAUUUGGGUAUACAUAUAGAAUUUUUUUUUCACCAAGAAACAAUAAGUAAAAUAAAAAGCCUUCAAACCUGU